AGUGAACGCUGGCGGUAGGCCUAACACAAGCAAGUCGAACGGCAGCACAGUAAGAGCUUGCUCUUACGGGUGGUGAGUGGCGGACGGGUGAGGAAUACAUCGGAAUCUACUUUUUCGUGGGGGAUAACGUAGGGAAACUUACGCUAAUACCGCAUACGACCUACGGGUGAAAGCAGGGGAUCUUCGGACCUUGCGCGAUUGAAUGAGCCGAUGUCGGAUUAGCUAGUUGGCGGGGUAAAGGCCCACCAAGGCGACGAUCCGUAGCUGGUCUGAGAGGAUGAUCAGCCACACUGGAACUGAGACACGGUCCAGACUCCUACGGGAGGCAGCAGUGGGGAAUAUUGGACAAUGGGCGCAAGCCUGAUCCAGCCAUACCGCGUGGGUGAAGAAGGCCUUCGGGUUGUAAAGCCCUUUUGUUGGGAAAGAAAAGCAGCAGGUUAAUACCCCGCUGUUCUGACGGUACCCAAAGAAUAAGCACCGGCUAACUUCGUG
rnacentral:rRNA from 1 species